CGAACGGGUGAGUAACGCGUGAGCAACCCGCCUAUGACAGUGGGAUAGCCUCGGGAAACCGGGAUUAAUACCGCAUAAAAUCGUAGAAACACAUGUUUUAACGGUCAAAGAUUUAUCGGUCAUAGAUGGGCUCGCGUCUGAUUAGCUAGUUGGUGAGAUAACAGCCCACCAAGGCGACGAUCAGUAGCCGGUCUGAGAGGAUGAACGGCCACAUUGGAACUGAGACACGGUCCAA
rnacentral:rRNA from 1 species